GUGGCGACGGCCGUCCAGUAGCUUGUCAUGCAGGCGCUGGCGGGCGUGCCGAUGAUCCGCGCCCACUCCCACCCGCCGCGACCCUCCGCCGCACGCCGCAGCUCCGCCAACUGCACGCCACAAAAACCAAAGCUCCGGUGCCGUUGAUGCAGGACAUGAGAUUGAAAGGCAUGCUUAUUUCCACCCAGGGGAGGAAAAAGAAGGGCGAGGGAAUCUUGAAUGUUUCUAUUGGACAAGCUUUGUGGAAUCUGAUGUUUUGUAUUCAAUUGGAUGGAAUAAAGCUAGUACGCUUGUGCUGAAAUCGUCCUUGUCUCCUGCUGCCUCUGAAGUCGAUGGUUGCUUAGGAGUUCAGAUGUCCAUUUGCAACUUGCCAAUGCUAACCACCACCGGUGACUGCAGGGUCUUGAGAAAGGUGAAAGCAGCUCCACAUUGCUGAUAUCAUACUGCAGAAUUUUUCUUCGCCCUGCUUGUCAUCACUUGCUGAAUGGAAUAUCGGGGCCUGAUUGAUUGAUCACCCUGAGAAGGUCUCGCUAAGGUUUUCGUCGCAAAAGAAGAGAAAAAAAGAAGUCGGCUAAACUUCUUAGGUCUGUGGGAGGGUAAGUGCAACGUGUGUUCUGCGUCACUCUUGACUUGCUGUUUAAAUUAGUCCUUCUGUUCUUUCCACUAUUGGUGGCAAGGAAAUUCUUAAUUCACUCGGUAGUAAUCAAUAGCUAAGUCAAAACAUCUUGCCACCUUGUAUUUUGCCUAGUAAUUUGUGAAGUCACGCAAGUGAUCUCCUCUAAACUAAUCUGGGGUAUUUUUAUUUUUUUUGAAAGAUCCAGCAAUCGCUGGCUUCGAUUCCAUAUCAAGCAUGGAGCAGACAAAACAAGGGUUGAUCCAAAGGAUCAAGGAUAAAAUAAGAGAAAAAUAAAGAAACCUUAAAGCUGAAUAUUAGGGCGAUGUUUCACGAUGGAUCCCCUAAAGGGCUCAAUGGACGUGCAGCCUUCAUACUUCAACAGGUGCUAGAUAAAUCGCAAGCGGAGACCUGGUCGGAUUUGAAAUGAGCUCCUGCGACGCCCCUGGCGACCCGGUGCCCGCGGCCGCGCGGCCACCCUCCCCGCCGUCGGUGGCCUCCCUCGCUGCGCCCUCGCCCCCGGCCUCCCCGGCCGCCGCCGCCCCCUCCUCCUCUCCGCCCUCCUCGCCGUCUCUGGCGUUCCGCUGGGCGGACGUGGCGGAGUUGGCCGAUGUGGCAGCCAGCCGCCCGGUUGUGCGUCGGGAUCCCCCGGCUCGGUCGGUCGUGCCCCAGGUGGAUUCUGCGUCCCCACCCCGGUCCGGUUGCUCCGGUGUUUGAUACGUCUCCAAUGUAUCUAUAAUUUUUGAUUGCUCCAUGCCAUUAUAUAUUUUGUUUUGGAUG